UGGACAGAUUAUUGUAUUCGACUGUAUUCACGACGUGAAAUAGGGGAUUACACUGUUUUUAAAACGGAAAGUGAAUUAAUUAACAUAAUAGACUCAU
rnacentral:pre_miRNA from 1 species